CAGUCGCCACGGUAAUACGAGGGGGGCAAGCGUUGUUCGGAAUUAUUGGGCGUAAAGGGUGCGUAGGCGGCUUGACAAGUCUUGUGUGAAAUCUAUGGGCUCAACCCAUAGUCUGCACGGGAAACUGUCGGGCUUGAGAAUGGGAGAGGUGAGUGGAAUUUCCGGUGUAGCGGUGAAAUGCGUAGAUAUCGGAAGGAACACCUGUGGCGAAAGCGGCUCACUGGACCAUCUCUGACGCUGAUGCAUGAAAGCUAGGGGAGCAAUCAGGAUUAGAUACCCCCGUAGUCCCUGUCUCUUAUAC
rnacentral:rRNA from 1 species